UACGUAGGGUGCAAGCGUUUAAUCGGAAUUACUGGGCGUAAAGCGUGCGCAGGCGGUGAUGUAAGACAGAUGUGAAAUCCCCGGGCUCAACCUGGGAACUGCGUUUGUGACUGCAUCGCUGGAGUGCGGCAGAGGGGGAUGGAAUUCCGCGUGUAGCAGUGAAAUGCGUAGAGAUGUGGAGGAACACCGAUGGCGAAGGCAGCCCCCUGGGUCAAGAUUGACGCUCAUGCACGAAAGCGUGGGAGCAACAGG
rnacentral:rRNA from 1 species